CAACAGCUAGAGUUUGAUCCUGGCUCAGAGUGAACGCUGGCGGCGUGCCUAAUACAUGCAAGUCGAACGGACAAGUAGUAGCUUGCUACUAUGCGUUAGUGGCGCACGGGUGAGUAAUAUAUAGCUAAUCUGCCCUACACUGGGGGACAACAGUUGGAAACGACUGCUAAUACCCCAUACUCCUUCUUAGCACAAGCUAAGUCGGGAAAGUUUUUCGGUGUAGGAUGAGGCUAUAUCGUAUCAGCUAGUUGGUGAGGUAAUGGCUCACCAAGGCUAUGACGCGUAACUGGUCUGAGAGGAUGAUCAGUCACACUGGAACUGAGACACGGUCCAGACUCCUACGGGAGGCAGCAGUAGGGAAUAUUGCUCAAUGGGGGAAACCCUGAAGCAGCAACGCCGCGUGGAGGAUGACACUUUUCGGAGCGUAAACUCCUUUUGUUGGGGAAGAAUUCUGACGGUACCCAACGAAUAAGCACCGGCUAACUCCGUGCC
rnacentral:rRNA from 1 species